rnacentral:rRNA from 1 species
GACGAACGCUGGCGGCGUGCUUAACACAUGCAAGUCGAACGGAAAGGCCCUGCUUUUGUGGGGUGCUCGAGUGGCGAACGGGUGAGUAACACGUGAGUAACCUGCCCUUGACUUUGGGAUAACUUCAGGAAACUGGGGCUAAUACAGGAUAGGAGCUCUUGCUGCAUGGUGGGGGUUGGAAAGUUUCGGCGGUUGGGGAUGGACUCGCGGCUUAUCAGCUUGUUGGUGGGGUAGUGGCUUACCAAGGCUUUGACGGGUAGCCGGCCUGAGGGGGUGACCGGCCACAUUGGGACUGAGGUACGGCCCAGACUCCUACGGGAGGCAACAGUGGGGAAUAUUGCACAAUGGGCGGAAGCCUGAUGCAGCAACGCCGCGUGCGGGAUGACGGCCUUCGGGUUGUAAACCGCUUUCGCCUGUGACGAAGCGUGAGUGACGGUAAUGGGUAAAGAAGCACCGGCUAACUACGUG